AAUACCUGUAAAAUGCUUGGGUGCCAUCCCCCAGGCCGCUGAGAGCAUCUGUUGGGGGUUCAGUGUCUGGAAAUGGAGAUUCUUCCCACAGUCUCAAGAUUUCCUAUCCUGAAACAGGAAGUGCGUGCCAGAACUUCUAAGAAGCUCACAUGACGUGUUGGAAUGCAGGCAGUUGCAUUAGGAUGCACACAUAUUCACUGUAACUGUCAGAAGAGAGCUGCCCAUAUGUAAGCGUACAUGCGUUUUCUGCUUUGCUUCAAAAGCAAUUGAUGCAGAAAUGUUAGUGUUUCAAGUGGAAAUGUGACUGAAUUUCACCCAAAGCCAUUGGACAAUGGCAUUAAUUUUCCUCUAGUACGGCAGUAGAAAGGAACUGAAUAUGAGGAAAAGCUGUAUCUGUACACAUGAACAUAACAUAAGCAGGAAUCAGGAAAAACAUCCCUAUCAUCAGCAUAGUGACUACCCUCAAGUCCUAAUUCCAGGAGCCGUUCUUUGUGCUGCUUACAGCCAGAAAAUUUAUCAUCCUAUCACCCUCAACACUCUUCUUUCUCUUUCCUGGCACAGAUGUUGGCAUUACUAGUGGAAGUGCAAGCAAGGAGAAUGCAGCUGUAACUCAUAUGACAGCACAACCUUCAUUGUUGACACCACCUGAGACGUGGCACCUUUUGGUGACUCAAACACCAGCCAAGGAAAAGGCCAAAGAGGGUGAAACUGUGGUCUUAAAUUGCUACUUUAACAGUCCACGACGUCCCUCCCUGACAGACCUGAAGGUGAAGUGGUACAAAGAAGAUGAAAAGGGGCAGAUGGACCUGCUGGGAAACAAUGUGACCGUCUUGCCAAAUAACUCCAGGGUUUUCAUGAGCGGAGACUUGUCCCAAGGGGAUGCCUCCCUGGUGAUCCUCAAUGUGACAAUCAGUGACCAUGGUAUUUAUUUCUGUGAGGUUACACUUCCGGAUGGGAACGUGGUGACAGGAGAUGGCACAAAGCUCAGAAUCAGGAGGGCUCUGGGCUUGUUUGGGAUAGAGGAAUCCAUUGGAACCAUCAUUGGGGUUGUGGCAGCUGGUAUCGGAGGUGUAGUGGUUCUGAUCAUUGUUUUAACCCCACAGCUGAGGAGGUGUGUCCUCUGCAUGAGACAAGGCUCUCGCCAAGGUAAGGAACACAAGCUAAAAUCUGGAAUCCCUUGCUAGAAAGAUGAACCCAACCGCUUAUUUCCAAAGAUUUUUUUUUUUUUUAACUUAAGGAGAAAUUAGCCAUUUACUUACCUCUGGUCAGACACAGGAUUUCUGGUUCAGAGAAUAACCAGUGUGGAUGAAACUCUAACUGGGCUGGCUCUAUAUUCCAUCUC